rnacentral:lncRNA from 1 species
CACAAGCAGAAUCCCAUGAGUUGUCAUACCUUUGAAACUUCGAGGUAAUGUUUCCAGAAAUAUAAAAAUUCCGAAAGACACUUUUUCUUUAGACUCGACAAUACAUGAUAUUAUUACAUAUUACUCCUCUCCUUGACAGUAGGUAUUUCUCUCAAACAAAUAUCGAACUUGACUCAAAGUGUAAUUCAAUUGUACUGCAGACAGAUUAUGGGCUAGCAUUGAUUGCACAUGAAUAUGACAAUCAAGCAAAGAAUGUAAAUAAACCACGAAAACACCUUGAGGAUUAAUGAGAACCUCAUACUAAUACCUAAAAAGAAAGCUGUGGAAGCACACAAUAUACCAGCCAGUUCCAUCCUUUUGGCGCAGUCUGGAUACCUGCUUUGGAUAUAUUUUCUCACCCACAUGAACGAAAAUGCAAGAAUCACAAGAACACAGAAAGAGAUCAUUGGUGAGGUUUCUCUUCGACUUGGUGACAACAUUGCAAUACCAAGAGCUGAUGUGAAGCAGAAAGAAAUGAUUGGACCUGUCUAGUCGAAAUUCUCUGGCGGAAGAGUUUGUGGGUUAUUUUGAUUGUCGUUGUAGGCCAACAUGGGAAGGAAAGGAUCCUAGACCUUGGGUGGCGGUGAACACAGAUAAAAGUUUCCCAAUUUGCUCUUCGCUUCUUGGAUCCAUUUCUUAACAAUUUCCAUUAUCAGAGAAAACUAGAAUUCCAAUUCCCUU